GGCUCAGGAUGAACGCUAGCUACAGGCUUAACACAUGCAAGUCGAGGGGAAACGAUAUUGGAAGCUUGCUUCCGAUAGGCGUCGACCGGCGCACGGGUGAGUAACGCGUAUCCAACCUGCCCAUCACUUGGGGAUAACCUUGCGAAAGUAAGACUAAUACCCAAUGACGUCUCUAGAAGACAUCUGAAAGAGAUUAAAGAUUUAUCGGUGAUGGAUGGGGAUGCGUCUGAUUAGCUUGUUGGCGGGGUAACGGCCCACCAAGGCGACGAUCAGUAGGGGUUCUGAGAGGAAGGUCCCCCACAUUGGAACUGAGACACGGUCCAAACUCCUACGGGAGGCAGCAGUGAGGAAUAUUGGUCAAUGGACGAGAGUCUGAACCAGCCAAGUAGCGUGCAGGAUGACGGCCCUAUGGGUUGUAAACUGCUUUUAUAAGGGAAUAAAGUGGGAGUCGUGACUCUUUUGCAUGUACCUUAUGAAUAAGGACCGGCUAAUUCCGUG
rnacentral:rRNA from 1 species